rnacentral:rRNA from 1 species
AUUGAACGCUGGCGGCAUGCUUUACACAUGCAAGUCGAACGGCAGCACGAGUGCUUGCACUUGGUGGCGAGUGGCGAACGGGUGAGUAAUACAUCGGAACGUGUCCUAAAGUGGGGGAUAACGCAUCGAAAGAUGUGCUAAUACCGCAUAAUCUCUAAGGAGAAAAGUAGGGGAUCGAAAGACCUUAUGCUUUUGGAGCGGCCGAUGUCUGAUUAGCUAGUUGGUGGGGUAAUGGCCUACCAAGGCGACGAUCAGUAGCUGGUCUGAGAGGAUGGCCAGCCACACUGGGACUGAGACACGGCCCAGACUCCUACGGGAGGCAGCAGUGGGGAAUUUUGGACAAUGGGCGCAAGCCUGAUCCAGCAAUGCCGCGUGAGUGAAGAAGGCC